CAAAUUUCUUGUCUUAGAUUUGUCUAGAUACGGAUGUAUCUAAUACUAAAAUGUGACUUGAUGCAUCCAUAUCUAGACAAAUCUAAGACAAGAAUUCUGGGACGGAGGGAGUAAUUU
rnacentral:pre_miRNA from 1 species